UCCGCAAUAGUUUAGUGGCUAGGAAUUCCCGCCUGUUCAGGUGUAUAUACCAGCACCGCGGGGGGACGGAGUUCAAUUCUCCGUUGCGGAG
rnacentral:tRNA from 1 species